CCCAGACUCCUACGGGAGGCAGCAGUGAGGAAUAUUGGUCAAUGGACGAGAGUCUGAACCAGCCAAGUAGCGUGAAGGAUGACUGCCCUAUGGGUUGUAAACUUCUUUUAUAAAGGAAUAAAACGAGGCACGUGUGCCUUUUUGCAUGUACUUUAUGAAUAAGGAUCGGCUAACUCCGUGCCAGCAGCCGCGGUAAUACGGAGGAUCCGAGCGUUAUCCGGAUUUAUUGGGUUUAAAGGGAGCGUAGAUGGGUUGUUAAGUCAGUUGUGAAAGUUUGCGGCUCAACCGUAAAAUUGCAAUUGAUACUGGCAGUCUUGAGUACAGUUGAGGUAGGCGGAAUUCGUGGUGUAGCGGUGAAAUGCUUAGAUAUUGCGCAGAACUCCGAUUGCGAAGGCAGCAUACCGGCGGCGAUCUGACGCUGAGGCACGAAAGCGUGGGUAUCGAACAGGAUUAGAUACCCUUGUAU
rnacentral:rRNA from 1 species